UACAGAGGGGGCAAGCGUUAUUCGGAAUUAUUGGGCGUAAAGGGCGCGUAGGUGGCCUGGCAAGUGGAAGGUGAAAUCCCUCGGCUUAACCGAGGAACUGCCCUCCAAACUGCUUGGCUUGAGUCCGGGAGAGGUGAGUGGAAUUCCCAGUGUAGCGGUGAAAUGCGUAGAUAUUGGGAGGAACACCAGUGGCGAAGGCGGCUCACUGGACCGGAACUGACGCUGAGGAGCGAAAGUGUGGGGAGCGAACAGG
rnacentral:rRNA from 1 species